GUGCUUGCUUCAGCAGCACAGCACGUAAACUAAAAUUGGAACAAUAUAGAAAGAUUAGCAUGGUUCUUGUACAAGACGAUACACAAAUUUGUGAAGUGUUCCCUAUUUUU